CCUACGGGAGGCAGCAGUGAGGAAUAUUGGUCAAUGGUCGGGAGACUGAACCAGCCAAGCCGCGUGAGGGAUGAAGGUACAGAGUAUCGUAAACCUCUUUUGUCAGGGAACAAAGGCGGGGACGUGUCCCCGGAUGAGUGUACCUGAAGAAAAAGCAUCGGCUAACUCCGUGCCAGCAGCCGCGGUAAUACGGGGGAUGCGAGCGUUAUCCGGAUUGAUUGGGUUAAAAGGGUGCGCAGGCGGUCUGUAAAGUCAGCGGUCAAAGCCCGGGGCUCAACCCCGGCCCGCCGGUGAAACUGGCAGUCUCGAGUUGGAGAGAAGUAUGCGGAAUGCGCGGUGUAGCGGUGAAAUGCAUAGAUAUCGCGCAGAACUCCGAUUGCGAAGGCAGCAUGCCGGCUCCACACUGACGCUGAGGCACGAAAGCGUGGGUAUCGAACAGGAUUAGAUACCCGAGUAGUC
rnacentral:rRNA from 1 species